rnacentral:snRNA from 1 species
AUCACUUCUUGGUCUUUUGGCUAAGAUCAAGUGUAGCAUUUGUUCUUAUCAGUUCAAUAAAAAUACUUAUCCAAUGUACAGAGCUGCAUAGCUUUGCAAGAGUACACUGAGUAGAAGUGGUGUAUCCUCACCAUGA